GGCCCCGGAAACGGGUGUAUGCCUCGUGGUGGAGCGUGUUCGAUAUACGUCAAAAUGACUCUCGGCAACGGAUAUCUCGGCUCUCGCAUCGAUGAAGAACGUAGCGAAAUGCGAUACUUGGUGUGAAUUGCAGAAUUCCGUGAACCAUCGAGUUUUUGAACGCAAGUUGCGCCCGAAGCCAUUUGGUCGAGGGCACGUCUGCCUGGGCGUCACGCA
rnacentral:rRNA from 1 species